rnacentral:snoRNA from 1 species
AACCCAUGGUGAGGGCACCUUCUCAAUAAGUCCUUGUAUCUCUCCCAUGCAUCGUAAAGUGUUUCUAAAUCUAUCUGUACAAAAGAUCAUGCAUAUAGCU